GACAGAGGGUGCAAACGUUGCUCGGAAUUACUGGGCGUAAAGGGCUCGUAGGUGGCCAACUAAGUCAGACGUGAAAUCCCUCGGCUUAACCGGGGAACUGCAUCUGAUACUGGAUGGCUUGAGAUUGGGAGAGGGAUGCGGAACUCCAGGUGUAGCGGUGAAAUGCGUAGAUAUCUGGAGGAACACCGGUGGCGAAGGCGGCAUCCUGGACCAACACUGACGCUGAGGAGCGAAAGCCAGGGGAGCAAACGGG
rnacentral:rRNA from 1 species